GCCAGGUAUGUGGCAGCAGCGGCGGGAAUACGGAGGGGGCGGGCGGUGUCCGGAAUGAUGGGGCGUACAUGGCGGGUAGGCGGUUUGUCGCGUCGGGAGGGAAAACUCAGGGCUCAACCCUGAGCGUGCUUCCGAUACGGGCAGACUAGAGGUAUGCAGGGGAGAACGGAAUUCCUGGUGUAGCGGUGGAAUGCGCAGAUAUCAGGAGGAACACCGGUGGCGAAGGCGGUUCUCUGGGCAUUACCUGACGCUGAGGAGCGAAAGCAUGGGGAGCGAACAGGAUUAGAUACCCGAGUAGUC
rnacentral:rRNA from 1 species